CCUGUCUAGAACAACCCUGUGUUAUCAUAUCUGUCUACGCUGGGCUUGUCUCUGUUGUGCGUGGGGCGAAGGCUCUUGGGCUUGACAGAAACCCAGAGGAGCCGGUUGCAUCGAGAGCUGCUGUGACACCUGCAAUGCUGAGCUGUCUGCCUGUGAUAACCCAAGUGAGCAGCUCAGGGAUCAGGACCUGAGGUUUUCAGCACAAACGACAAGAGGUUCAAGUAGAAAAGCAGAAGCGGAACAUGCAAUAUGCAGCCCGUGCCUGGCUUCCCUCACUCAGCUUGACGAAAUCACAGAACAGAUUGUUCUCAAGGAGGCCCCCGUGGUGUUUUCCGGAGCUCCUCUGCCAGGUGGCAGUCUGAAAGACCCCCCCACCC
rnacentral:lncRNA from 1 species